UCUAACGAUUGAUCUAGUUACUUAGAAAGAUGAAGAUUAUGAAAAAAAAAAAAAAGGAAAAUAAUAAUGAAGAAUAUAAAAUCUAAAUAUAUUAUAAUAGAAUAAUGAUGAAAUAAUAUAUUGAUGUCUUAACAAAAAUUAGUGCCAGCAGUUGCGGCUAAACUAAGGAGGCGAACGUUAAUCAUUGAAGGCUUAAAGGAUCCGUAAAAUAAUAUAUAAUAUAUAUAAUAGAGUUAAAUAAAAUGAAUAAUGUAUAAUAAAUAAGAGGGAUGAAAUAUAAUGAAAAUAUUUAGACAAACAAAAUUGAAGAUUUUAUUCAGAUAUUUAACUGACAUUGAGGGAUGAAGGCAUGAGGAAUAAAACGGAUUAGAUACCCGAGUAAUUCAUGCAGUAAACUAUGAGUACUAAAUAGAGAAAANAGUGAANACUUAAGUAUUCCGCCNGGNGAGUAUAUUC
rnacentral:rRNA from 1 species